AAAUAGCCGCCGGAAGAACGGGUAUCAUUGAUGUUGAUAAUCAUGAGGUGUUAAUGCCUCGCUAUUUU
rnacentral:tRNA from 1 species